UUGGGUAGGGGAGCGUUCUGUAAGCCUGUGAAGGUGGCCUGUGAGGGUUGCUGGAGGUAUCAGAAGUGCGAAUGCUGACAUAAGUAACGAUAAAGCGGGUGAAAAGCCCGCUCGCCGGAAGACCAAGGGUUCCUGUCCAACGUUAAUCGGGGCAGGGUGAGUCGACCCCUAAGGCGAGGCCGAAAGGCGUAGUCGAUGGGAAACGGGUUAAUAUUCCCGUACUUGGUGUUACUGCGAAGGGGGGACGGAGAAGGCUAUGUUGGCCGGGCGACGGUUGUCCCGGUUUAAGCGUGUAGGUGUGUGUUCCAGGUAAAUCCGGUUCACUUUAACACUGAGGCGUGACGACGAGGCACUACGGUGCUGAAGCAACAAAUGCCCUGCUUCCAGGAAAAGCCUCUAAGCAUCAGGUAACAUCAAAUCGUACCCCAAACCGACACAGGUGGUCAGGUAGAGAAUACCAAGGCGCUUGAGAGAACUCGGGUGAAGGAACUAGGCAAAAUGGUGCCGUAACUUCGGGAGAAGGCACGCUGACACGUAGGUGAAGUGAUUUACUCAUGGAGCUGAAGUCAGUCGAAGAUACCAGCUGGCUGCAACUGUUUAUUAAAAACACAGCACUGUGCAAACACGAAAGUGGACGUAUACGGUGUGACGCCUGCCCGGUGCCGGAAGGUUAAUUGAUGGGGUCAGCGCAAGCGAAGCUCCUGAUCGAAGCCCCGGUAAACGGCGGCCGUAACUAUAACGGUCCUAAGGUAGCGAAAUUCCUUGUCGGGUAAGUUCCGACCUGCACGAAUGGCGUAAUGAUGGCCAGGCUGUCUCCACCCGAGACUCAGUGAAAUUGAACUCGCUGUGAAGAUGCAGUGUACCCGCGGCAAGACGGAAAGACCCCGUGAACCUUUACUAUAGCUUGACACUGAACAUUGAGCCUUGAUGUGUAG
rnacentral:rRNA from 2 species